AAGAAAUCAACAGAGAUUCCCUUAGUAGUGGCGAGCGAACGGGGACUAGCCCUUAAGUGGCUUUGAGAUUAGCGGAACGCUCUGGAAAGUGCGGCCAUAGUGGGUGAUAGCCCUGUACGCGAAAAUCUCUUAGUCAUGAAAUCGAGUAGGACGGAGCACGAGAAACUUUGUCUGAAUAUGGGGGGACCAUCCUCCAAGGCUAAAUACUCGUUGCCGACCGAUAGUGAACCAGUACCGUGAGGGAAAGGCGAAA
rnacentral:rRNA from 1 species